GUUGCAGGGGUUCCGAGGCGGACCUGGGGAGCAGAAACCCCUGUUUAGGGUGAACCGUGGCGGGCGCCGAUGGCCUCUUGGAAGAGGACAGACUAGCAGCUGCGAGGGAGAUGGGACUGGGUUUCACCCCUGAAAGGGCCCCUGGAGACAGCGGGUGAGGGACAGGGGAAGGGGCUGGUGGUCCUCUCUCCCGAGGCCCCGCACCAUCACACGGAUGACUUGGCACAAUAGCUGCUGGGCCAGUGUUGUCGCCUGUGACUGUACUUUAGGGAAACUGACAGGGAGAUCAUGAUGUCGCCAUUUUGAUGGGGUCCCCAGAGGAGAGAUGUCCUCCCCAACGGCUCCUGGACAGGACUGGGGAAAGAGUUCAGAUAAGUAUCUCUGUGGUCUGGGCUGUCACCUUACAACUGCACAACUCUGGACCUCCAGCAUCAGAACCACUGGGGCCUAGGUUAAUAAUACAGAUUUUCAGGCUCCAAUUUGGACAGACGAAACUGAUCUCUGGGGUGGGACCCAGGAAUCUACGUGUAAACAAGCACCCAGGGGAGUUCUGCUCACUGAAAUUUGAGAAUCCCUGAUUUAGAAGGAGGACUAUGCUCUGUGCAUGUUCUCUGAAAUGUUGGGUCAAUCAGGACCUGUCUACUGAAACUGCUCCAACCAGCCAAGGUGCAGAGAAAAGAUGCGUGCAGGGCCGAAAACCAGGGUGCUCUGGAGGCAGGGAGCCCUCGAGAAUGUAAAGCCAGCAAGCUGUUACAGAGUGAUUUGCACAGAACAGACACUCAGUUGAUAUUUGUCAAUUUGCUGUGUUUAAGAACCUUGCUGAAUUAAUUUAAAAGGAGGGCUGCUGAACGCCGGAGCCUUACAACUGUUAAACUCAGGCAGAGCUCGGGAAAUGCUGCCCGGAUGGGUGACUGAUGGAGAGGGGCUACCACUCUUCCAGCUAAACUCCGCUCUGGUUGGGACCCAGCAAUUAUUUUCCAUAGCGAAGUGUUAAUAAAAUAUCUGUUACUCCCAACACAACCUCCUGGGGGAAGGGACCUGUCUGUCUGCUUCAACUUUGGAUCCUCAGUGCCCACAUCAGGAUACCUGGCCUGAGAGCAUCCGGUGACCCAGUUUUAGGUCUCAAGGUCACUGCCAAGAAAGAGAAGCUGCUAAAGUGACACCUCUGUGCACCCACAUGACUUAACACAAAAGUUAACAGGAGCUCUUCAAAAACAAGCCUCUCGAGUGUCUGUCUCCUGUUUUCCCUGAGGACAGCAUCAGUGGCAUCAGAUAGGGGUUGGGGCUGGGUGACCUGCUGGUCCUCAGCCAUCACUGUGGCCCAGAGGUCAUUUAAGCAGCUCUCUGCUUAGCAGACAGGCAGAGGGAAUAGAUGGAAGGUACAGGUAAACACUGCAUGUGGCCACCGCGAGGAUACCCCGGAGCCUGGGAAACAGACAGGGACGUCGUAAAACCAACACAUAAUGGACCAGUGCAGAGACAGGCAAAACCAGUCAGAAGAAAUAGGAUGGUGCCUAGCCCAGGGACACCUGACUUAAGAGAGGGUCCUGCCGGUAUUACCCUGGAGGAAGGAAUGCUGCACAGAGGCCGAGAGGAAUUUGAACAGACUGGCCUUGCUGGGUUUUUAUCUCUUUUUGUCCAAUCCCAUUUUGACACAGUUGUCCAUGCUCCAAUCAUGCUUAUCCAAUGAAGUUUCCAUAACAGGCCUGAGAGGACAGGGUUCAGGAGCUUCCGGACAGCUGAGCAGGUGGAGGUUCCUGGAGGGUGGUGUGCCAGGGAGGGUGUGGAAGCUCUGCCCCUUCCCCCAUACCUUGUCCUAUGCAUUCCUUUAUCUGCAUCCUUCAUUUUAUUUUAUUUUUUUUUGAGACGGAGUCUUGCUCUUGUCGUCCAGGCUGGAAUGCAGUGGUGCGCGA
rnacentral:lncRNA from 1 species